UAUUUUCUUUUUUCUCUUGCACUAUGGCUUGUUUGGCAGAAUUGGCUGAAAUAGUCAGGGAUGUGUCGGCAUUACAUAUCAAUUUUAUGCAUGGUGAGAACAGUGAGAUGAUGGAUCUUGCACUUCGGGUGUGUCGAGGUUAUCUCAACGGCCCCUGGAAGAAAAUCACUGCCAAUGACAUUUCUGUAAAAAGAAUAAGUGGAGGACUGAGCAACUGGCUGUACCAGGUGUCAUUCACCAAGCCCCUAGUCAAGCCUGCUGAGCCUUCACAGGUCCUGCUGCGUCUCUAUGGCCAGACUCAUGGAGAGAGAGCACUCGAGAGUCUCAUUACUGACUCUGUCAUCUUCACUCUAUUGUCUGAACGCAACUUGGGGCCCAAACUGCAUGGCAUAUUCCCUGGUGGACGGAUUGAGGAGUAUAUACCGGCAAGGCCACUCAGGACGCUGGAACUUGCUGAUGACAAGCUGAGUCGUCAGAUAGCUACCAAGAUGGCCGCUGUGCAUGCUAUGAACGUUCCUAUCAACAAGGAGCCUCGUUGGCUCUGGGACACCACCAAUAGGUGGCUUCAAAACAUUGAUGAAGGUCAAAUGAAGGAGAACCAGGUAGAUGAAAGUCCAAUCGCUGAGGUGCUCUACAAGCUGGACUUGAAGAGAGAGGUCUCCUGGCUGAAAGAGCAUUUGAUCAAGUUGAAAUCUCCAGUGGUGUUCUGCCACAAUGAUAUGCAGGAAGGCAACAUAUUGCUUCGUGAAGACCUCGAGGACCCCACCAUUGUGUUGAUUGAUUUCGAGUACUGCUCGUACAAUUACCGAGGUUUUGAUAUCGCCAAUCACUUUAUCGAGUGGAUCUAUGAUUACACUGAAGCGGAACACCCGAAUUUCCGAGUUGUCAAGGAAAACUACCCUUCUCGUGACCAGAUGGUAAGUGACAGUCUAUUUGCCCAUUUGGCGGUGCAACUAAGUGUCUUACCGAGUGUUAUAACAUACUCGUUACUAUUAUACACAAUGGCAAAUAUUAAUGUAGGAAACUAUAAUUAACAUAUUAAAUAGGCGUGUAUAAGUAACAUAGGCUACUUUGAAUAACAAGCAAGUAAUAGAAAAAUUGUUAUAGAUUUUUAAAUGUGUUAAUAUAUAACAAUGUUUUAAGUGGUUAUAAGAAUAGAUUACUGAAUCUGUCUUCUAACACAAUGAUGGCUUGUUUUCAAAGUAGUUUUAUGUGAUCCUAAUGUAUGAGUUAGUUGUAUUUUAUUUUAACUAUGAAAUUCAACUAUAUUUCAACUUAACUGUUUACAACAUACUCACCAAACAGCUUACAAAUUUUACUUUGAAUAUUUUUUAUUAUUCACCUAGUUAAUAUGAUUUUAAUCAUGAAUACCUAAUCAUUAUUUUUAGUUGCACCUUUUAAUGCCAAAAUGGGCCUGACUUUUGUUGCUGUGUGAAAGAGAGAAUGGAUGUAUUUUAUUACCUAUUAUUGUUUAUUUUUUAGCUUGUUUUUACCACUACCGGUAUCUGUAUCUUGAUAUUUCAGUGUGGCAGAUUGCAAGUGGAUAUAUAUAAAUAUAUUCAUAUGUGACCAAUUAAGAUACAGGUAUAUAAAUAUAUAGGUUACUGUCUUCGCAAUCCUGAUUUGUUAUAGCACUUCGGCCGUUUCGGAGAUUACUCCAUCGUCUUGUACGACUUCGCACCUGACGAUGGAGCUAUCUCCAAAACGGUCGUAGUGCUAUAACAAAUCAGGAUUGCGAAGGCGGUAACUUACAUAUUUAUAUACCUGUAUCUUGAUUGAUUCACAUAUGAAUAAAUGAGUUGGAAACUAGAAACCGCCUUAAAACAAAUAAUACUCUAUUAUAAAUUGGCAAACAAAUUUUCAUUUAGACAAUGUAUGUUUUUUUUUGUGAACAUUUGUUGUAUGUUACUCAAAUUUCAAUUCAGCAAAUGGAGUUCAGAUUAUUUUUUAACAGUUUUUUAAACAAGAUCUUGGAAUAAAAAAGUCUUACGUUGUUCCAGUAAGUAAUGAAAAUGUUCAAUUUUGUGCUGUAAACAAAGGCAUGCUUAGACAUUUUGGCUACUUAAAUUUACUAAAUUAUUCAUGAAUGAAAGUUUCCAGUGUGAUUGGUCGUAGUAUUUUCAUGCAACUUCAAACUCUCAUGCACCAUAUCAGAUUAUAUCAAGCUACUAAAAAAAAUGUUAUGUUUUCUUUUUCAACAUGUUACACUGUUCUAGCCUAUUUAUAAACCAUAUGUAUAAAAGUAAGUUUUAUAUGCUAAACAUUUUAGUUUUCUGACUUUUAUAGUUCAAAAGGCUCAUGGGAAGAAUGAAAUAAUAUCAAUUUUAUACUGUUAUCUUGUUUCUUUUUUUUGACAAAUUAUUGAUCUGAAAAUUACUUAUAAUACUGAUAUGGUGUGCAAAUAUUUACUAGGGACAGGCUAUGUUUUGCAAACGAGAAACUGGUCUGGAUGCCAAACAUACCUUUAUAAGGACAAAUUAAUUAAAGUUGUCAGAGCUUUUGAAUUAGGUCUACAAGCAAUUCAUGUUUUACAAUAAUUGAGCAGUUGCUCAAUAAUUUAGUUUAAAGAUUUUAAUGUAAUAAAUUUUUACCAAAUUCUAUUUAAUUUCUUACAAGUGAGUUUAUGUUUUAAAAUUCAUACAAUUUGUAAAAAUAUAUUGAAAUACCUGUAACAAAUAUUUUUCAAGGACAAAUGUCCCAAACUAGCCCAUCCCUAGUUAAUAUUACCAAGUUUUCCUAAAAUGAUUUUUCAGGCGAGGUAAGUUUCUUUAUUUUUAUUAGUUUUAUCAUGCUAGGUAUCACUUAAUUCAUUUUUAGUCAAUUUAAAUUCAUUAUCACCAUUUAAUGGCUAUUAUUUUACCAUUCUCAUCCAAUUUAGGGGUAGGCAUUUCAAGUAGGAUUUCUUCGAGAAUGAGAACAACUGUGCCUGGCUUGUGUGGAAUAUGUGGUGGAAUUAAUUGUGUUUGAAUUAAAUGAAAUAGAAAAAUAAAACGUAAUCUUGGUCAAGUAAAUAAAUAAAACAAGGAAAUAUUAGAGGCUUCCUUUGUUGGUUGUAUAGGAGCUGCAUGGAAGGGGGUGAAAAACUAAUUUUCCUUAUGAAAUUUGUUGUAAAAUAUAACAUCAAUGUUGUGAAAAACCUUUAAAAAUUGCAUGAAAUUUGAUAAAUGUGUCCGUUAAAUCAAGCUGGUCAACUUAAGUAGUCCUACAUAUUGCCUUUGUUUAUUCAAUUGAGUGAAAUUUGUUAGAUUAUGAUGUAUUGUUGGUUAUUUUACAUAGCCUAAUUGAUACUUGAACAAACUGAGGGCAAACACACAUGAAUUAGAAAAUAAUAUUGUUACUGUAACAGUAACCAGAUUCAUCAGUUAGUUUAUCCUUUAAAAAAAUAAUUUGUGAAAAACUUUACAAAAAAUUAUACUUUGGAAUUAAUCUUCACAAUCAACCUACCAAUUCCGCACCAAACUAUUCCACGCAAGUCGGCGCACCAGAGGACAGCUGAUAAUCAGUUGUUAUCAGUUUGUGAUUGGUCGAUUGUUGUUUUUGCCUCUCUGCGUUUUGUGUGUUUUGUUUCUUUUCGGGGCAACUUGCGGAAGCUACGGACUCCCAUGGGAACUCUCAAACUUGGGAAUUCUCGAACCCGAACCCGGGAUGUCGCAAACCCUCUGAUCUCUGAUCUGACUAUGUCGGACCAGCUUGUAAAAAAAGGUUGAAAUAUGCACGCUGGUGUUCUUAGAGCAAUACGCACACAGUGUACCGGGACAACACGCACCAGUGUGCCUAGACACGCUGAUCAGAGAGGUACGCAACUUUACCUUGGCGUCUCACCUGUUCUGGGGACUGUGGGGAAUGGUG